rnacentral:misc_RNA from 1 species
AAGUCGUAACAAGGUUUCCGUAGGUGAACCUGCGGAAGGAUCAUUAAAGAGAGAGGGUCCCCAGGCCCAAACCUCCCCCUUGCCAAUCAAACCUAGCCUUGCCUUUGCAUUGGGUGGACCGCCGCUCCAGAGGAGCCCUUUGAAACCCCGGUCAUCUGUGGAGUCUGAGCAUGAUACAAUAGUUAAAA